rnacentral:rRNA from 1 species
CCUACGGGAGGCAGCAGUGGGGAAUAUUGCACAAUGGGGGAAACCCUGAUGCAGCGACGCCGCGUGAGCGAUGAGGUAUUUCGGUAUGUAAAGCUCUAUCAGCAGGGAAGAAAAUGACGGUACCUGACUAAGAAGCCCCGGCUAAGUACGUGCCAGCAGCCGUGGUAAUACGUAGGGGGCAACCGUUAUCCGGAUUUACUGGGUUUAAAGGGAGCGUAGGCGGCUUGGCAAGCCAGAUGUGAAAGGCUGGGGCUCAACCCCAGGACUGCAGUUGGAACUGUCAUGCUAGAGUGUCGGAGAGGCAGGCGGAAUGCGUAGUGUAGCGGUGAAAUGCGUAGAUAUUAGGAAGAACACCAGUGGCGAAGGCGGCCUGCUGGACGAUGACUGACGUUGAGGCUCGAAAGCGUGGGGAGCAAACAGGAUUAGAUACCCUAGUAGUC